UGUAUGUCUUGAUCCUAGUGUAGGAUUUUUGCGUACAGCGGUACGACUCGUUCAUGUAGACAAAAUAGCAAAACCAAUGUGAAGAGUAAAGAAAGAGUAAUUACAAUGAAUUAAGGUUAAAAGUUUAUUGAAUGGUUAAUUAAUCAUUACUCGUGGAUAGAGAGAAAAGUUCCAUUUUCAAAUUCGUUCAUACAUUUUAUUUGUAAAAAAGGCGAAUUUCAGAAAUUGGAUUUAGGAUUGGAGCCCUCGCAAGUGGCUCUGUCUUGCCUAAAAAACAUUUGUAUCAAACGAAAUCAAUAUGCUUUGUAGUUUUUGCAAUCUAGCUUUUCCUAUAGAAAAUAGCAAUUGCUUGUUAAACGGUUUGUACCGGGUUCCUUAUCUUCAUUUGCAUAAUAACUUACAAUUAGCGAGUGAAAAUUGAAUAAAUAAAAGCGAGGAAUAUGUUCAUCGAGGGAUAUCACUAUUGGAACAAACAGGUUUUGCGAAAGGAAAUAUCAAUAUUGUACUCCUCUAUUUUUUUACUAAACGCCAAGUACUGCUACAUUCAAACAACAUUUUCCAUUUCAUAAUCCUUUUCAACAGUCAUUGCGAUUGCAAUUCUGAUAUUAUUAUCGAGACAAGGAAAUGAGCAUGAUAUUUUGUACCAAAUUAAUUUGUUAUGAAACCCUUCCGCCAAUUUCUAUUGAGAAUCCAUAUAUAUUUUUUAUUUGGCUAUUAUUUCAAAUUUAUGGCUCG
rnacentral:lncRNA from 1 species